AAAUCUAAAUCUAUACAUUUUAGCCUCUGAUGUUCAAAUUCCUCCAAAAAACUAACUCUAAUCUCUAAUUUAGCUUUACGUAGCCUCCUCAAAGUCCAUUGGUCAUGAUUUUUGACCAAUAGGAAUGGAGAUUUUUAUCAUCCAUCUCCAUUCAUCUAUAUGGAUACCUUAAAAUCUCUUUUUGCUACCAAAAUCCCUCUCUAACUUAUUUUUUUAUAAGAUUUA
rnacentral:lncRNA from 1 species